rnacentral:misc_RNA from 1 species
AAGUCGUAACAAGGUUUCCGUAGGUGAACCUGCGGAAGGAUCAUUACUGAGUACCGGGUCUCUCAGGCCCUUACUCCCACCCUUUUGUGUACCUUACCACUUCUUCAGUUGCCUCGGCGGGUUAACCUUCCCCUGCCGCUUACCGCUAACCCGGUACGCGGUCUUCCGGGGGGGUGCCCGCCGGGGGUCCCACCUAAACUCUCAUGAAUCGAGUCGUCUGAGAACAAAAACAAAUGAAUUAAAACUUUCAACAACGGAUCUCUUGGUUCUG